rnacentral:rRNA from 1 species
GACGAACGCUGGCGGCGUGCUUAACACAUGCAAGUCGAGCGGUAAGGCCCUUUCGGGGGUACACGAGCGGCGAACGGGUGAGUAACACGUGGGUGACCUGCCCUCAGCUCUGGGAUAAGCCUGGGAAACUGGGUCUAAUACCGGAUAUGACUCCAUGACGCAUGUUGUGGGGUGGAAAGCCUUGUGCGGCUGAGGAUGGGCCCGCGGCCUAUCAGCUUGUUGGUGGGGUGAUGGCCUACCAAGGCGACGACGGGUAGCCGGCCUGGGAGGGCGACCGGGCCACACUGGGACUGAGACACGGGCCCAGACUCCUACGGGAGGCAGCAGUGGGGAAUCUUGCGCAAUGGGCGAAAGCCUGACGCAGCGACGCCGCGUGA